rnacentral:rRNA from 1 species
UACGUAGGGCGCAAGCGUUGUCCGGAAUUAUUGGGCGUAAAGAGCUCGUAGGCGGCCUGUUGCGUCCGCUGUGAAAAUCCCCGGGGCUCAACCCCGGGCCUGCAGUGGAUACGGGCUGGCUAGAGGCAGGCAGGGGAGAACGGAAUUCCUGGUGUAGCGGUGAAAUGCGUAGAUAUCGGAAGGAACACCAGUGGCGAAAGCGGCUUCCUGGUCCAGCACCGACAUUCAGGCACGAAAGCGUGGGGAGCAAACAGG